UUAUAUUUUAGUAUAAGAUGUAUAAGAAUUUUUGAUAUUCUAGGAAAUAGUUUGAUUCUGUUAAAUAUAAU
rnacentral:tRNA from 1 species